rnacentral:rRNA from 1 species
GACGAACGCUGGCGGCGUGCUUAACACAUGCAAGUCGAACGAUGACGACCGAGCUUGCUCGGUCUGAUUAGUGGCGAACGGGUGAGUAACACGUGAGCAACCUGCCCUUCACUCUGGGAUAACCUCGGGAAAUCGGGGCUAAUACCGGAUAUGAGCUCCUGUCGCAUGGCGGGUGUUGGAAAGUUUUUCGGUGAAGGAUGGGCUCGCGGCCUAUCAGUUUGUUGGUGAGGUAGUGGCUCACCAAGGCGAUGACGGGUAGCCGGCCUGAGAGGGCGACCGGCCCCCACGGGACCGGGGACAGGGCCAGACUUCUAAGGGGGGCCGGAGUGGGGAAUAUUGCACAAUGGGCGAAAGCCUGAUGCAGCGACGCCGCGUGAGGGAUGACGGCCUUCGGGUUGUAAACCUCUUUCAGCAGGGAAGAAGCGAAAGUGACGGUACCUGCAGAAGAAGCGCCGGCUAACUACGUG